rnacentral:ncRNA from 1 species
AACUAGCUUAUAGUAGCUAAGUAUUUAUAGUAAUAUUACUUUUUAAUCUUUUAAUAUUAGUUUUUCUUAUUAUAUUAAAGUAGAAUUUAGUAAGUAUUAAAUUAUUGACUUAUUAAUAAGGAAUAUAAGCUAGGUUUAGACUAUUAUAAAAUAGGUU